CUACCCUUUAAUCCGAUCCCGUGAGGUCGGCAAGGUGCGUUUAUAAAUACUGUAACUAUAACUAUAACCAUAGCUAUAACUAUAAGUAUGCUCCCUGCCGCGCGGGGAGCAUUUUUUGU
rfam:Ruminococcus flavefaciens 007c Rf007c_contig00016, whole genome shotgun sequence.